rnacentral:rRNA from 1 species
AUUGAACGCUGUCGGCAUGCCUAACACAUGCAAAUCGAGCUGAACGGCGGACGGGUGAGUAAUGCCUAGUAAUCUGCCUGGUAGUGGGGGAUAACGUCCGGAAACGGGCGCUAAUACCGCAUACUAGCAGAUGAGCCUAGGUCGAAUUAGAUAGUUGGUGGUGUAAAGGCCUACCAAGGCGACGAUCCGGAACUGGUAUGAGAGGAUUAUCAGUCACACGUGAACUGAGACACGGUCCAGACUCCUACGGUCGGCAUCAGUGGGGAAUAUUGGACAAUGGGCGAAAGCCUGAUCCAGCCAUGCCGCGUGUGUGAAGAAGGUCUUCGGAUUGUAAAGCACUUUAAGUUGGGAGGCGUUACCAACAGAAUAAGCACCGGCUAACUUCGUGCCAGCAGCCGCGGUAAUUC